GAUGGGAAAGUCCAGAGCAGAGCCUGGGGGCCAGUGGCUGUCCUAGAUGGGCUGCAGGAAAGGGCUGAGGCCAAGGGGAGGACUCGGCCCUGGGGGACUGUGGGUAAGAAUUUCCACUAGGUCUCGCUGGGCCAUCUUCUCUGGAGGUCCCACCUGAGCGAGGUCAGCCUGCAGCUGGUGCAGAUGGGCUGACACUGGCGUUCUUGACAAGGGCCUGAGCUGUUGAAGGAGAAGGUGAAGCUUUGGGUAUUGUUCCAGAAUGUACCACUGGAUCUGGCCUCACUGACUGACCCCUCCAGGUCCCCUGAGGCCAACAUGGUCACGAGUUGGUCCUGGCGGGUCACCUGGGAAGGACUGUAAAAAUAGCCACAAACGCCUCACCUCCCUGCAGCCACGCCUCCAACGUGGUGUUGCAGCCCCUGCCACCAAGGUGGGGAGGCCACCUCCACCCUGUGACUCCGGCUUGGCCAUGACUUGUCUUGGUCAAAGGGACGAGAGAAACCUGAUGUGGUGAGCAGAGGCUGGAAAAGUGCUGUGUGCUGGGGCUUGCCCUCUGGGAGCUCUGUGACCACAUGAACGAGCCGAGGCUGGUGUGCUGGAUGCUGAGAGGUCACAGGAAGGAGAACCGAGGCGACUGCUCCAUCACUUGGGCAUCCUCCAGAAGCAGUCAUCCAGCUCACCUGCAGGCGCUGGCAAACACAUAAGGAAGCCCCGUUCAAGCCAGAGGCGCUGCCCAGCUGACCUGCACACUAGUGAGCAGUAAUCAAUGAUCAGUGUUUUAAUUCAGUAAACGUGCAGGUUGUUCGUUAUGCACUAAAAUUAACUGAUACAAAACCUUAACAGAAAGCACGGGGAGGACUAAAAGCCACUGCUUCAGUCUGGAACUGAGAACCUGGAGUCACGGAACUCUCCAAACCCAGGGGUGGAGCUGGACUGCUCUGCGGUGAGGGCGUGGCCCCAAAGGUUCAUCCUCCCACUCUGUCCCCCAGCCUCAACCUGCCUGUGUGUGCUCUCUGGUCCUUCUCAUCGCUAAGCUUGGCGAUGUGGAGGUGGGACGGAAGGAGACACGGAGAGAAGGCUCUUUCUGUAGAGGUGGAGGAGACUGGAGCCUCUGGGGUUCUCAAGGAGGGUGUAGAAGUCACAGAACCUGAAGGGGAACUAACAUAUGAGAACAGGGCAGCCUCAUGACUUUGGAGAUGCCUGAGAUGGGGGCCUUGAUGCCCAGCCUGGCACAGAAGGUGGAGGUGGGAGUGGGUGGGUAACCAGGGCCCUGUGGCUUCCUGCCUCCACGAGGCCCUGGACUUCAGGAGGGGGGACCAGCUGCCCCCACAAGGCAUUGUAGGGUCACGGGGCCAUCUAGGGUUUGAACACUUACCACUGGGGAGGCAGGUCAAGGCUGGUCUGGUGUGACUGCAGAGAGCAGGUAAGAGCGAGGCGGGAGGUUUGAAAGGGUUAAGGAAGGGAGGGAGGGGCUGGACCGAACAGAUGCCAUCAGGAGGUUGUGUCCCUCCAGACAGUUGGCGGUGCCUCCUAUAACCUUUCUCUGACUUUCCAUCUCUCUCUCUCUGUGACGUAGGCCUCGGUGGGGAAGAGGGACCUCACAAGGAAAAGAAGAGUGAGGAGAGAGAACUCUAGAAGCAGACGUGGAUGUAUGCUAUGGCCAGAGCUCAGAGCACCAAGAGAAGAAUCCAUCUGGGGUGCAGGAGGAGACCCCUGUCCCUACCAUGUGCUCACCACAGAGACAGUCCCUGUGCAAGCCGGGCGACACCAUGGGGCUGGUGGCUCAGCUCUCAGUAGAGCCACUCCAUGUCCAGCGUGAGGUCCACAGGGUCAGGAUGGUGGAUGCAGAUGGUGUCAACUCCAGUAGCUGCUCCGUCCUUUCCAGCCUGGGGAAGGAAGGACAUGUGUAUGGGGAUGGGACAGAGGAGCAUCUCUGGUUGGACAUCCUUUCAUCAGCCCACUUGUAUGUGGAUGCCUGCUCAUCUGCUCUCCUGGUCCAGGCAUGAGCUGCUCACAAGGGAAGUGGCAUCUUCAAGCCACAAAGGCCCAGAGUGGAUGUUUAGAGUCAGACGUUAUCAGUUCAAAUCUCAGCUCUGUCACUUGAUGAAUAAUCCACAUAAGCUGCCAUGACUCAGUUCUGCCAUCUUGCAGUGUGAAAAAUGCUGGAACCACUUUGUUGGAAUGUGAUGGGAUUCAGACAUGAUUGAUACAAAAUACCCAGCCUGGGGGCAGGUACAUUCUAAGAGCUCAUCAAUUAAUUAAUUGCUUAAUUAAACAAAUGUUUUCAGAGCACCCACAGUCCCUAGGAAGACUGGACAGCAGCUCUGAACAGAGACUCAUCAGCUUUCAGAAAGCUGAUCCAACCCUCCAAUUUUUGGACCUGAGCUUCUGAGGCUCAGACACUGCACAGCAGAGACCCCCACCCACCACCCAUGUGCCUUUGCAUUACCAGCUCUCAGGGAAGCAGGAGAAAUGAGGCUGAAGGGGUAACCUGGGAUCCAGCAGGUGGCAGUGCUAGAGAGCAUGAUUGGGGAGAAAUGGAGUCUCCUUACUCCUCAGCAGGAUGGACGUGGCCUUGGGCUGAGCUGCUUCUGGCUCUGGUCUCCUAGAGACUUGAUAAAGGUGCAAUGUCAGCUGUGUUGCCUGGGACGCUGCUCACGGUGAAAAUGGCCCCUGGUUGAUGACCUGCAUCUUCUCUGGGAGGACCAUAAAUGGACACCAAUACCUGGCAGGAAGCUAUAGCUUUGGGUUUCCUUGGGUUAUGUGAUGACCCUGUUAACUUGAAAGAACUGUCACAAGAGCUUGGUUCCCCUAUGGGACAGGGAACAUCUAACCCAGGGUGGCUUCGGCACCCAUCCAUUCAGGUUUCAUUUCCUUGCACAGGGACAGUUACAUGGGAGGACAGAAGAACAGCCCUUGGACUGCCGAGAGGGUGCUGGCACACCGUCUUCUGUGUAUCCUUCUAGGGGAGCUGAAGUCAUGUCGGGCUAGUCAGGUCUGCAAGUCUGACUGUCUGAUUGGAUUCAGGAUAACCUACAGAGGGCAGUGCCCAGGACUGGCUCCAGGGCUGCGAACAGCGUGAGGUGAGCAAGGGCCUAGGUACUCCAUUUAAGGAGCGCUCGCUCUCAGGGUCAUGCAAGUACAGGGUUCGCACCUGAAUGCGAGCACCUCUUGAAAGACAUUCUGUAGCCUAGGGACCUCACAUGCCCACCCUAGUCUGGGCCAGGCCAGCCCAGCCAGCCCACACCUUACUUACCUCCUAGGGCCAGACAAAGAGGUCCCACCUUGGUGCGGUCAGUCUGCAGCCAGUGCAGAGUGAGCCGACGCUGCUGGUGGUGAGCAAGGGCUGGGCUGAGGAGGAGGGAGUGGGUGGAUGAAAAGAGAUGUGAACGUCCUCAUCGUAAGUACGAGCUUCCUUGAGCUUUCCACACCUUUUGACAGGGGCCACAUCAAAAACAUUCCGCUAUGGUUGGAAGGUAGCCCUGCUGUGGGAUAUGGCAUUUCCUAUGCUCAUGAGAGAGGAAAGGAUAAGGGUUUUCUGCAAGGACUGGAGUAGGUUGUGGGUGGGUUUGGGAGGGAGGCAGGUAAUACGGCUAUUAUUAGAGUGAAUGUGGACACAGACAAUAGAUUGUGAUAAUGCUUUGACAUAAUUUUAUCUACCUGAUCCCAGUGGUCAUUGCUCAGAGGCGGGCAAAAAGCUCCAAGCUCACAGAGAAAACAUUCCUCAGCCCUAAAUAUGUUAACGUGAUAAUCUGUUGAUGUCUAAAGUACUUACUGAAUGUUAGAUUAUCUGGAGGAUUUAAAAUAUGUCCACAAAUACUCCCUUCAAGUACUCCUCCCUCCAAGAGAUGGAACCUGUUCCCCUUGCCUUGGGUGGGGGCCGGACUCAGUGCUCGCUUCAAGCAAAUAAAGUGGCAGUGGUGGGUGUGGCUUUGGAGGCUGGGUCAUAAAAGGCCCUGAGGUUUCUGUCUUGAUUGCUUCUCUUUGGAUCACUUGUUCUGGGAGAAGUCGGCUGUCACAUCCUAAGGAGAGGUCCACUUGGCAAGGAACUGAAGCCUUGAGCUAACGGCCACAGGAGGGAGCCUCCUUGGAAGCCGUUCCUCCAUCCCAGUCACGUCCUCAGAUGACUACAGGCCCAUCUGACAUCUCAACUGUGACCUCAGGAGAGACCCUGAGCCAGAGCCACCAGCUCAACUAAGCUCCCGGUUUCCUAACCCUCAGAAACUGAGAGUUCACAUUUGCAUGAAAUUUUGCAUCCCCAAAUCUCAUUUAUUCCUAAUUCUACUCUUAGAAGAGCUUGUCCUUCUGGAUAUAUCUUAUAUAAAAUAAAGGAGUGGUAAUUCAAAC
rnacentral:lncRNA from 1 species